CUCCAGGAUCGCGCCCUGGGCCAAAGGCAGGCGCUAAACCACUGCACCACCCAGGGAUCCCUGGACAAGACUGAAGAGCAGGACACCCUGACUCAGUGCUUCUUGACUCGAGAACUCCUGCCAACUGCCACUGGAGAGGCUAGGUGGCCAGAGCUACAUUCACUGGCUGAUUGCAAAUUCACACGCCUCCAUGGGCCGGGUGGGUAACAAAACUAGUGACCUGGGGGAGGGUGGAGGAGCAUAGGCAGCAGCAGGGACUCAGCUCGGCCUAUUGUCACCAUGUGGGGAAAUAGGCACGAUGUGGCUCCAGUUUAAGAGAAGCAAGCCCUACAUUUUGCGAGUUCUAAAUGUUUGCAGUGAAUUAAAUUUUAACAGCAAACAGCGCUGUCCAGCCAAACAAAAUAUAUAAGCUGGCAAGAUGCAUCUUUUUCCAUUCCUUUAUUUAAAUGCAAGAUAAAUAGUGUUGCUCAGAUAGCAUGAGCAGAUAAAAAGUGUGGCUCAGAAACCAGAUUCUCCAAAUGUCAUAAGCUAUUAGAUGGGUGGCUGGUUUGGAAUGCCACAGGUGAUGGGUGUCUGGGUUGACCUGUACCCUCUUUCCAGGUACUGGACUCAUCUCUCCUUCAGGGACUUCUCUCCCUUGAUGUACACGUGGUUUGGGUGAGGCUGACUCAGCCUCUGAAUGUGAGGGUCAGCCCACAAACCCGGCCCAACCAGGGACCUCAUCCUAUUACCAAGUGAGCUGGGGCAAUAAGGCAACACCUGGAUUUCUUUAUUUCAAAACUGUUGGGAAAGAGAAACUCUUGUUUCCUCCGACAUUGCUAGCUGGCUACAGAACCACGGAUCUAGAGGGUUCACGUGUCCUCAGUGGGAGAGGCCUGGAAAAGACCUGCACUCUCAUCAGGGACAGUAGCAUGUGGGGAGAAAGAGAGAUAGACAGGGACCAAAUGUGACCGCCUGGCUCCAGCUGUACCUGAAUGCAUACUACAGUUGGACUUUGAAUAAGUCAGCAAAAUGUUCUCCUUUUCUUAAAGUGGUUUUAGUUUGAAUUCUCUCACUUGUCACCAAAAGAGGUUUGUCAAAUAUAUAGUAUGUUACUGACUACCUAGUAGCACCUCAAAUAUAACUGAUGUCCAGGAAGCCUGGGAAGCCUGGGAGCCUCGACAGGGGCCCUGUGACUGGGAGGUGGGGACAUCUGUGAAUCCAACCCCGAGGCUGUAGGGAGAAGGCCAGAAGCAGAAGCGGGGCUGACAGAUCCACUCUUUCUGCAGGGGCUAGCGUCAAUGUGUGCUGGGGAAGCGGCCCACGUUCAGUCUGUUUUGUUAUAACACUUGUGUGCUGUGAGUGAUCUUAACAUAAAUUAGCUCAAAUGUGGUUGGUAAAUGGGGGGAUGAUGUCAGGGGAACGUGGAAGUUGCACUGGUUUCCCAUGUGAUGGUCCCAGCCUGUUGGAAGCUGGAGCCCAAGUGCAGGAACACAGCUCUCUACAGCAAGGUCCUCCCUUGCCUCCUGUCACCUUCGCUGAGCUACAAUCUCCGUCUUAGGAACGCUUCGGGCUCAGUGCUCCCUGCCCCUGGGCAUCGCCUCCUUAUCUCCAUGACUCGGAAGACUACAGAUUCCUUUACAUUGCCCGCAUCAAAUGACCUUUUCCUCCUUUUUCUCCAUUUCAAGUCAAAGUCCUUUGUUUUCUGCAGAUUUUUUUUUAAUGUAUUAGGAGCUGAGCAUUCCUUUUUAGACUCUGCUGGUAUUUUUUUUUUUUUAUUAAGAUUGUUAUUGCUUUGGUUAGUGCUCUGGUCGGAAAUUUGUGUCUGUGUUGAAUUGUCUGCCUCAUUUUCAUUUUCCCGUAAGUCUUAUUAUUUUUAGUGUGCAAUUUCACCGAAAGUAUUUUCUCCCUCCCUCAGGAACACACAGACCUCGUUAUUGCAGAAACACCUGCACUUUUUAAAAAAGAGCAGAAUGAUAAAUAGCCAUGGAUGUGCUGACCGUGGACCAUGUUGCUUCAGUUCUCCUUCAUUUGCUUGCUUCUAUAUGGUAUUAGCAAAGUUCAACCUGUCUUUUCAUCAUGUUGUUUGUUUGGUUAGUGUUGAACCAUAAAGACACUUAAGCCUGAAUGCCAGGUCCUAAUUGGGUGAACCUGGAAGGUUUUUCUGGAUUCCCUCAAUUCAAUCUUCAAUGCUGGGAGACCUCCCUGUGCCCCUCGGCAUCCAGGAGGGGUCCUUAAGCAAAACCAUGUGCACCCGCAGCGCAGCAUAAGCAGAUGCUACACGCUGUAAAGGACGCGAGAUGCAGGCAGCUGGAAAAUUGUGCUACAAAAAUAAACACCCACUUUCUGCAAAUUGGGCAACUCUCAUUAGCCCUGGGAAGCUUAUUUUCAUGGUUAAGUAGUUAAGCUGCUGAUUAAAGACACAGACCAUUUAGGCACCUGCUUCUUCUUUCAUUUUCCUUCUGUUCUGAGCUUUGGCCAGGAGAUGGCGCUCUUGAAUGUACUUUGGCAGAAGAUCCGGGGUGUUGGCGCUACAAGAGCAGCUCAGCACCUGCAAAGACUUCCUUCUUAAACUGAGAGAAUGACUUGGAUUUUCUGAUGGGGAGAGGAAUGCAAUUUUCAAUCCAGCUAGAAGCCUGAGUGGCUAGAACAUAAUCACACCACCUGUCAUGUUUUCAGUUGGAUUUAAAAUUCAAUUAAUGUUGAUUAGUGGUGGUGGCGGGUGGGUGGGGGUUUGCAGGUGUAUUUCCAGUGCUGUGGUGUUAAGCCAGGAAGUGAUAUUACUUUGAAGAAAAACUAAGGCACUCGAGGAAGAACUAAUAUUUGAUCUUACCCCAUUAUAAAGACAGCUUGGUACACUGGAGUGUGGUAGGCCUGGCUUUAUAUCUUCCAGACCUACCUCUGUAUGUUACCAGAGGCCUUCAACGCCAUUAUUCUUGGGGCUGAGUGAACCAGGUUUUGGAGCCCAAGAAUUUAUGUAUCUUCAAACAUUGCUUUUUAGGCAACUUCUACCUAUAUAUGUAUUUGUCAAGAUUUUCCUUAUUUAAGAGAGAGAGAGAGAGCAUGAGCAGCAGGAAGAGACAGAGGAAGAAGGAGAGAAUCUCAAGCAGACUCCACGUCAAGAAUGGAGCCCGAUGUGGGGCUCGAUCUCAUGAUCCCUGAGAUCGUGACCUGAGCCAACACCAAGAGUCAGCUGCUUAACUGACUGAGGCACCAGGGCGCCCCAGCUUCCAUCUAUAUUUGAAGGGCAAGUUCUAGAAUGUGGCAGCUGGAGGUCUGACUGAACCCUACAUUGAGAUGUAGGUCCAAGAGAGUGGUGUCCUAAAUGAGAAUCAUAAUGUGGCUUGCCAGGUGCCUGUGUGAGGUGCUCUGAAUGCAGUCAUCUCUUUUAAUCCUUACAACAUCAAGAGAUGGUUACUCUUCUUCGCUUACAGACGAGGAAACCGCGGCUUACAUAAGCUAAAUAACUUGCCCAAGGUUAAACAGGUAGCAAGUAUUACAACUCGGAAAUUAUUCAGCUGCUUCCAGAAUCCGCACUCGUUACUGUGCCGUUAACCUCCCUCCAGAACCGCUAGAGUUUCUCUCCUACUUCAGACUCUCAGAGGGCAUUCACGGCCCACAGGACGGAAGCCGAAUCCCCUAGCCUGGCACUCAUGGUCUUUUAUGAAUCACUUUCAAGCAAGAGCAGGUUAGAGAGAUGGCAAUGAUGUUUUCUAAGGCCCUGUCUAGAGCAGUGGCCACUGCUUUGAAGCACACGCUCACACUACAUGAAUAUUUAUUCAUAAACUACUUACAGAUUUCCUUGUCAAUCCAUGCAUUAAAUAGUAUUUGACCUUUA